rnacentral:tRNA from 1 species
CUGCCGGCAGCGUGUUGCGGCGGCCGCUGCGGCUGCCCGCGGCGGCCGCGGAACGGCUGCGCGAUGUGGUCGGUUUUGAGAUCGAUCGGCAGACC